rnacentral:rRNA from 2 species
UUUUAUGGAGAGUUUGAUCCUGGCUCAGGAUGAACGCUGGCGGCGUGCCUAAUACAUGCAAGUCGAGCGAACGGACGAGAAGCUUGCUUCUCUGAUGUUAGCGGCGGACGGGUGAGUAACACGUGGAUAACCUACCUAUAAGACUGGGAUAACUUCGGGAAACCGGAGCUAAUACCGGAUAAUAUUUUGAACCGCAUGGUUCAAAAGUGAAAGACGGUCUUGCUGUCACUUAUAGAUGGAUCCGCGCUGCAUUAGCUAGUUGGUAAGGUAACGGCUUACCAAGGCAACGAUGCAUAGCCGACCUGAGAGGGUGAUCGGCCACACUGGAACUGAGACACGGUCCAGACUCCUACGGGAGGCAGCAGUAGGGAAUCUUCCGCAAUGGGCGAAAGCCUGACGGAGCAACGCCGCGUGAGUGAUGAAGGUCUUCGGAUCGUAAAACUCUGUUAUUAGGGAAGAACAUAUGUGUAAGUAACUGUGCACAUCUUGACGGUACCUAAUCAGAAAGCCACGGCUAACUACGUGCCAGCAGCCGCGGUAAUACGUAGGUGGCAAGCGUUAUCCGGAAUUAUUGGGCGUAAAGCGCGCGUAGGCGGUUUUUUAAGUCUGAUGUGAAAGCCCACGGCUCAACCGUGGAGGGUCAUUGGAAACUGGAAAACUUGAGUGCAGAAGAGGAAAGUGGAAUUCCAUGUGUAGCGGUGAAAUGCGCAGAGAUAUGGAGGAACACCAGUGGCGAAGGCGACUUUCUGGUCUGUAACUGACGCUGAUGUGCGAAAGCGUGGGGAUCAAACAGGAUUAGAUACCCUGGUAGUCCACGCCGUAAACGAUGAGUGCUAAGUGUUAGGGGGUUUCCGCCCCUUAGUGCUGCAGCUAACGCAUUAAGCACUCCGCCUGGGGAGUACGACCGCAAGGUUGAAACUCAAAGGAAUUGACGGGGACCCGCACAAGCGGUGGAGCAUGUGGUUUAAUUCGAAGCAACGCGAAGAACCUUACCAAAUCUUGACAUCCUUUGACAACUCUAGAGAUAGAGCUUUCCCCUUCGGGGGACAAAGUGACAGGUGGUGCAUGGUUGUCGUCAGCUCGUGUCGUGAGAUGUUGGGUUAAGUCCCGCAACGAGCGCAACCCUUAAGCUUAUUUGCCAUCAUUAAGUUGGGCACUCUAAGUUGACUGCCGGUGACAAACCGGAGGAAGGUGGGGAUGACGUCAAAUCAUCAUGCCCCUUAUGAUUUGGGCUACACACGUGCUACAAUGGACAAUACAAAGGGCAGCGAAACCGCGAGGUCAAGCAAAUCCCAUAAAGUUGUUCUCAGUUCGGAUUGUAGUCUGCAACUCGACUACAUGAAGCUGGAAUCGCUAGUAAUCGUAGAUCAGCAUGCUACGGUGAAUACGUUCCCGGGUCUUGUACACACCGCCCGUCACACCACGAGAGUUUGUAACACCCGAAGCCGGUGGAGUAACCUUUUAGGAGCUAGCCGUCGAAGGUGGGACAAAUGAUUGGGGUGAAGUCGUAACAAGGUAGCCGUAUCGGAAGGUGCGGCUGGAUCACCUCCUUUCUAA